rnacentral:rRNA from 1 species
UACGUAGGGAGCAAGCGUUGUCCGGAAUCAUUGGGCGUAAAGCGCGCGUAGGCGGCCCGAUAAGUCCGCUGUGAAAGUCAACGGCUCAACUGUUGGAUGCCGGUGGAUACUGUCGGGCUAGAGUACGGAAGAGGCAAGUGGAAUUCCUGGUGUAGCGGUGGAAUGCGCAGAUAUCAGGAGGAACACCUAUAGCGAAGGCAGCUUGCUGGGACGUUACUGACGCUGAGGCGCGAAAGCGUGGGGAGCGAACAGG